AAAACGACUCUCGGCAACGGAUAUCUCGGCUCUCGCAUCGAUGAAGAACGUAGCGAAAUGCGAUACUUGGUGUGAAUUGCAGAAUCCCGUGAACCAUCGAGUCUUUGAACGCAAGUUGCGCCCCAAGCCUUCGGGUCGAGGGCACGUCUGCCUGGGUGUCACGCAUCGUAGCCCC
rnacentral:rRNA from 2 species